GCCCCCGUCGUCUAGCGGCCAAGGAUGCCUGGUUCUCAGCCAGGAGAUCGCGGGUUCGAAUCCCGCCGGGGGUG
rnacentral:tRNA from 2 species